rnacentral:ncRNA from 1 species
CUAUAAGCAAUGAACAAGAGGGCUAUUAUUAAGGUAUUAAAGAGAACGGCCGGUUGGUGAAAGGCCAAAUACAAGAUAAUGGUUGUAGCUUGUGAGCUGUUACUUUGAACGAUGUAGUAGGGGUAACCGGAUUAAUUUUCGUUAACAAUGAUUUAAGAGGAGCAUUAAAGCUCAAUUUAGGUGGUACCACGGCACUGUCGUCCUAUGU